rnacentral:rRNA from 1 species
UACAGAGGUCUCAAGCGUUGUUCGGAUUCACUGGGCGUAAAGGGUGCGUAGGCGGGUCUUAAGUCAGGGGUGAAAUCCUGGAGCUCAACUCCAGAACUGCCUUUGAUACUGGUGAGCUUGAGUCCGGAAGAGGUGAGUGGAACUGCGAGUGUAGAGGUGAAAUUCGUAGAUAUCGAGAGGAACACCAGUGGCGAAGGCGAGUCUCUGGACGACACCUGACACUGAGGCACGAAAGCUAGGGGAGCAAACAGG